UACGGGGGGCAAGCGUUGUUCGGAAUUACUGGGCGUAAAGGGCUCGUAGGCGGCCAACUAAGUCGGAUGUGAAAUCCCCAGGCUCAACCUGGGAACUGCAUCCGAUACUGGAUGGCUUGAAUUCGGGAGAGGGAUGCAGAAUUCCAGGUGUAGCGGUGAAAUGCGUAGAUAUCUGGAGGAAUACCGGUGGCGAAGGCGGCAUCCUGGACCGACAUUGACGCUGAGGAGCGAAAGCCAGGGGAGCAAACGGGG
rnacentral:rRNA from 1 species